UUGGGCCGUCGCCAAGCGGUAAGGCAGCGGGUUUUGGUCCCGCCAUUCCUAGGUUCGAAUCCUAGCGGCCCAGU
rnacentral:tRNA from 1 species